AGUAAAACGUAUGGUGCUCGAGUAUCGGAUUCGAGUUUGAAUAAUUUAGUAGUUAUCUAUACACUGUACAGUCCACUUGUUCAGACAAAAUGUAGAAAAGUUAUAAAGCGCUGCUGAUCAGACACACUAUAAUAUGUAUAGAGUAUUUGCGGCCAUAAAUGUCUAUAUUAAUAAAUCAUUGGUAUUUUCUUGUGGCGUUUAGAUCGAAAUUAAAA